GGCUUCAACAUCCCCGCCGGUUGGGCGUCGCCUUCUUGGGUUAGCUUAAGAAGACGUGCAGUGAAUCGACUGGAGCC
rnacentral:sRNA from 1 species